ensembl:snRNA U1 U1 spliceosomal RNA
AUACCUCCUUGGCAGGAGGGGUACCAUGAUCGUGAAGAUGGUUUUCCUAGGGCGAGGCUAAUCGAUUGCACUCUGGAUGUGCUGACCCCUGCAAUUUCCCCAAAUGUGGGAAACUCCAAUACCUAAUUUGUGGUAGUCGGGGACUGCAUUCGCACUUUCCCCUG